CCGCCGCGGGCCUGCACUCCUCCGGGAUAUUCUCUCUCAUCCACUUCCUGUUGGCCUCGUUGGCCGCGAUGUCACACUCCUCGAAAUCGAUCUUAUUGGCCGCCACGAAGCCCAACACAUCCUGCUGCUGCUUUUUGAUCUGCGUGCAGGGGGAGAUGAGAGAGAGAGAGGGGAAGUUGUCAGUUAGACAUGUGUUAACUUGAGGAAACAUAAGGGUUCAGCGUGCUGCCGUCAGUCUGUUGCAACAAUAAGGACACUGUGCCUCUCCACUGGAGGAUGGCCCUACAAGGCCUGACGGAAACAAGCGUUCCUCUGGGACUCGAGAGGAGGACUUUGUUAUUCUAUGGGGGGCCAUUCGGGGUUCAGAAUCUUGCCCAAGGACACUUCAGCAUGCAGAUGGGUCAGACUGGGGAUGGAACUGCCGACCUUCAGGUUGAGGGACGACCACUCUACCCCUCAGCCACAGCCGCCCUAUGCGUGUGACCAUGAUUUGCUGCAGAUAUAUGUCUAACUUUGGUUAUUCUCAUACUCCUCCUCUAAUGGCAUCAUCACAUCAAAUUGAAUUCACCCGAUUCCUUGUGUGAAUUGAAAUAUUAUGACACAAACAUGUCAAACUAGUGACAUUCCCAUUUCCCUCUGCAGUACUUUGAAUUGAGUGCAAAUCAGCAAAGCUCUAAAAUGUGUCAACAUAGUAAACAUUAUACCUGCUAAAACACUGUGUUAGCAAGUUAACAUUAGGAAUGUGGAAAUGUUGCCACGUACAUUAUCACUUGCACUAAUCUGAAUUUAAAGUUAUCUUCCUGAUUUUAUUUCACACGCUACCAGAGAACACUGUUAACAAUGUUUUACACAAACCUGUUCUUUUACUACACAAGAAGAAAGAUCUGCUGCAUCUCAACAUGAUUUAGAUCAGUCAGUAAUGGAAUUACACGUGCCUUUCUUACUCCUGCAACACUCUGAGCUGCAGGGUUUAAUUCAUUCAAUGAAUCCUUUGCAUACCCAUUCUGUUAUAAACAGCACAGCACACAAGAACAGAUACAAGAGAUGAGAGGUCGGUUUAAUUUAACUCACCUAUUGUUGCACUGAUCAUUAUUUUGGACAAUCCACAACCUGUGUUAACCGUGGCAAAGGAACCUGUACCAUGCUGUGCUUGGUUUAUGUUCCACAUCGUGUCAUCAUCAUCAUUUGACAGUGUGGCAGCAGGGCACUGCGAUAACAUUCAGACCUGAUCAAUCCCAGAAUAGGGUCAGAACGCUGACAUCAUCAGGCAGACAUUGAUUAGAAGCACUGUAUCCACAGCACUGGCUCCGAUCAAUACAGUGGAAACUGAUUGUGGUUGAGAGUGAUUCACUCACACGCAAAGGAGUUAACUUUUUUUAAUAUUUUAGAUACUGUAAGAUUAAAUUACCUCUAAUCCUUCAGGAGUCCAACAUUCGAAUUGGGAAAAAGCUCUCUCUGGACCAGAGGAAAAAUGAAUCACUCCCAGCUCAUUGUGACUGUGAGAGACAAAAGUUUUUGUCUUGUACUGGAACUCAAGCAGCAACAGUAGCCUCUACCCAAUCCUGUGCUCAGUAAGCAUUACAACAUCAUUAGAACAGCUUCUUACACUGCUGCUCUGGCCGGGUUCCUUCACUGCAGCCCAAUGUUGAAACAACAGCAAAAGGCCAAAAACCUGACCUCUUGUACAAACCAACUGACUCUCAGCCAACUUGAGACCAUAAAUGUCAAACAGACAGUGAAGACCGCCCAGUGAAUCUGAGAUUUACUGAGGGGAAGAAAGCCUGAGACUUGAAAGCACACACACAUAAAACAUUGGAACACAAUCUCACACAGAGUGUUAUCAAGCUGUUGCUGAGUCUUGGUGCAUUUACUGUGGCAAUGAGGAAACUGUACAAUCUGACUGCAGGCAGUAAAUGUGUUUUCAAACAAUGAGACUCAGCAAGUCUAGUUGGCCUAGUUGUCUAGUCAAGAUAAACGGCUGUGUGUGUGUUAUGUCUAGCUAUUACCCAUUUAGUCGCAUUAUGGGGACCUGUCUCCCCUUAUGUGGACAAACAACAAGACCCCAUGAUGUCAUCAAUUACAUUUCGAGGUGAAUACAUGUUUAAUGUUAAGUGUAAGUCAAGUUAUGGUUGAGGAGAAGGUCUCAAGAGUGGGAUAGACUGUAGAAAUAAAAUUUCCUUGUGGGAGUAAUUAAGUAUUGUGAAUCUCUCGGAGAAUGAAUGCAAGUCUAUGUGAUGUACUUUGUCUGUGUGUGCGCUCGUAUUUAUUUCUUUAGAACCUUAUUUUGCAGAAUAAACAUUGGCCUUGUCAAGACCA